rnacentral:rRNA from 1 species
GAUGAACGCUGGAGGCGUGAAUACUACAUGCAAGUCGAGCGAACAGAAGAAGAAAUUAAAAAUAAGAAAUAAAAGAAAGAAAGGAGAGAAACAAGUAAAUACACAAAAUAACAGACUGGGAUAACUACGAGAAACCGGAGCUAAUACCGGAUAAUAUAUUGAACUGCAUGGUUCAAUAGUGAAAGACGGUUUUGCUGUCACUUAUAGAUGGAUCCGCGCCGCAUUAGCUAGUUGGUAAGGUAACGGCUUACCAAGGCCUCGAUUCUUAGCCGACCGAAAAAUGUUUGGUGCCACACUGGAACUGAGACACGGUCCAGACUCCUACGGGAGGCAGCAGUAGGGAAUCUUCCGCAAUGGUCGAAAGCCUGACGGAGCAACGCCGCGUGAAUGAUGAAGGUCUUCGGAUCUUGAAACUCUGGUAUGUUGGAAUAACAAAUGUGUAAGUAACUAUGCACGUCUUGACGGUACCUAAUCAGAAAGCCACGGCUAACUACGUG